GUCUAUGUGGUUUAGUGGUCAAAGCGUCCGCCUCGGAUGUUGGAGGUCGCGGGUUGGAACCCCGGCCGAGUCA